UACGUAGGGUGCAAGCGUUAUCCGGAAUUAUUGGGUUUAAAGGACGCGCAGGCGGUUUCUUAAGUCAGAGGUGAAAGUUUGCGGCUCAACCGUAAAAUUGCCUUUGAUACUGGGAUGACUAGAGAUGAUUCGACGUGGAUGGAAUGUGUGGUGUAGCGGUGAAAUGCGUAGAUAUCACACGGAACACCAAUUGCGAAGGCAGUUCACGAGAAUUUAUCUGACGCUCAGGCGUGAAGGUAUGGGGAGCAAACAGG
rnacentral:rRNA from 1 species